rnacentral:rRNA from 1 species
GUCAAGUCAUCAUGCCCCUUAUGCCCAGGGCUUCACACAUGCUACAAUGGCCAGUACAGAGGGCUGCGAGACCGUGAGGUGGAGCGAAUCCCUUAAAGCUGGUCUCAGUUCGGAUCGGGGUCUGCAACUCGACCCCGUGAAGUUGGAGUCGCUAGUAAUCGCAGAUCAGCAUUGCUGCGGUGAAUACGUUCCCGGGCCUU